rnacentral:rRNA from 1 species
AAAUUGAAGAGUUUGAUCAUGGCUCAGAUUGAACGCUGGCGGCAGGCCUAACACAUGCAAGUCGAACGGUAACAGGAAGAAGCUUGCUUCUUCGCUGACGAGUGGCGGACGGGUGAGUAAUGUCUGGGAAACUGCCUGAUGGAGGGGGAUAACUACUGGAAACGGUAGCUAAUACCGCAUAACGUCGCAAGACCAAAGAGGGGGACCUUCGGGCCUCUUGCCAUCGGAUGUGCCCAGAUGGGAUUAGCUUGUUGGUGGGGUAACGGCUCACC